UCGCAGUAAAUUAAUGAGCAUUACAUAAGUAUAACAUAAUGGAAUCCCAAGUAAAAUCUACUCGUGGUCGUGAAAUAUUUGUAUAUGAUGGUUUUAUGUAUGUUUAUGAUAAUGUUAAUUUUAAUAAAACAAUACGGUUUUGGCGUUGCCGUAAUAGAAAUUUUUGCAAAGCACAAUUCAUACAGAAAUAAAUGACUAAACAGUCAUAAAAACUAUUAAUGAACAUUGUCAUGACUCGAAAGCGUCAAAAAUCGAAGCAGAUGUCGCUGUGACAAAUCUAAAAAGAAAAGCUACUAAAUGUAUGAAGCCUACGUCUACUUUGAUUAACAUGUGUAUUGCUCCAUUGUCUGAAGCAGCCAAAGCAACAUUACAAAAUAAUGCUGCAUUAAAAAAACAAGUUCGACGCAAAAGACAAGAAAUUCUAGCUGCACCACAAAAUCCGGAAAAUUUAACCAUAUUAGAAAUACCAGAUUCAUAUCGUAUGUACACUUCAUCGACAGGAAAUGAGGAACUAUUUUUCAAGAUGAUAGUGGUCCAAGUCCGGAUAGAAUAUUAAUUUUUGGUCGUUCCCGAAGCCUUGAUAUACUACAGAACUCUAAAAUAUGACAUUUAUUAUUAUUAUAAUGACGAAAAUAUUCAAUGACCACAUCGAAUCGGCCACGGCUAAAUGUUCUCACGGCGAAAUGGCCACGGCGAAACGGCCACGGCGAAACGACCACGGCGAAACUACCACGGAGAAACGGCCACGGCGAAUUGUCUUAGAUCCCUAUAAUUAAUAAUAUACUGGUUACACAAAAUAUAUAAUAAAAAUAAUUCUAAACAAGUCUUGGACUUUUUCUUCAGAUGCAAUAUCUAAACAUUUUAACGUACAUAAUAUUAAACGGUUACAUCACAAAUUACACCAUUGUCACUAGGUUUGUGUCUAAAUAUAAUUUAAUCAACAUCAUAUCGUAUGAAUAUUUAAUAAAAAAAAAAUAAUAAUAUGACAACACCAGCUGUAAAUACAGAAAAAUGUAGUAAUUAAUUCGU